GCGUGUACUCGGAGGACAUUAAUGAAUGAAAUUGAGUGGGGUUGUAGCUGGCCUUUCACCGGGCAUGUGCACACCUCAUUCGACCACCUUCUACACCCCUGUGCACUUCUCAUGAGUUGGGCCGCGUCUGAAACACGACAAAGUCCGGCUCGUGUGUUUUAUACAAACGAAUCAUGUUACAGAAUGUCACUACCAUGCUUUGAAGCAUAUAAUACAACUUUCAACAACGGAUCUCUUGGCUCUCGCAUCGAUGAAGAACGCAGCGAAAUGCGAUAAGUAAUGUGAAUUGCAGAAUUCAGUGAAUCAUCGAAUCUUUGAACGCACCUUGCGCUCCUUGGUAUUCCGAGGAGCAUGCUUGUUUGAGUGUCAUGGUCUUCUCAACCCUUCCGUCUUUUUCACCGGAGACUGUCGGGCUUGGAUGUGGAGGUCUUGCAGGCAUCUGGAUCUUUUGAUUCAGAAGUCGGCUCCUCUGAAAUGCAUUAGCUUGAAUAGUACCAAGCAUGAUUCAGCGUGAUAAUUGUCUACGUUGCUUCGUCUCGGUGAAUUAAAUGUUCAAGCUUCUAACCGUCCCUCGGGACAAUCUCUGAACAUCUGACCUCAAAUCAAGUAGGACUACCCGCUGAACUUAAGCAUAUCAAAAAGGGGGGGAGAAAAA
rnacentral:rRNA from 1 species